UGUGUGUGUGCGCUGCGUGGUGACGUAGGCGCGUGCAUGUGUGCCCCGGUCACAGCUCCUUUCAGCAUGGCCGGAGGAGAGGUGUACUGGCAGUCGCGUGACACACACAGAUCAGACACAUAUUUCUGUGUUGCAGAUGUGCAGUAAAGAGCCAAAGACCCAGUACUGUCUCCUGCCUCUUACUUUCACGCCAGAACACAACGCAAGAACAAC